GGACUACAAGGGUAUCUAAUCCCGUUUGCUCCCCUAGCUUUCGCGCAUCAGCGUCAGAAGAGGUCCAGCAGGUCGCUUUCGCCACCGGCGUUCCUUCCGAUAUCAACGCAUUUCACCGCUCCACCGGAAGUUCCACCUGCCCCUACCUCGCUCAAGACAAGCAGUAUCCAAGGCACUUUUCCGGUUAAGCCGAAAGAUUUCACCCCGGACUUGCCUGCCCGCCUACGCGCCCUUUAAGCCCAGUGAAUCCGAACAACGUUCGCACGGUUCGUCUUACCGCGGCUGCUGGCAC
rnacentral:rRNA from 1 species